UGUGGAGCGUGGGAUCUGAUUCCGUAGUAGUCGAGUGAUGGGGUGACGCAGGAAGGUAGCUCCGCCAGUGAGUGGUAGUACUGGUGUAAGCGUGUAGGCCGAAACAUAGGUAAAUCCGUGUUUCAUUAAGGCUGAGACGUGAUGCGUAGCCGAUUGAGGUGAAGUAGAGUGAUCCUAUGCUGCCGAGAAAAGCCUCUAGCGAGUGCGUGCACGGCCCGUACCCCAAACCAACACAGGUGGUCAGGUAGAGAAUACUAAGGCGAUCGGGUGAACUGUGGUUAAGGAACUCGGCAAAAUGCCCCCGUAACUUCGGGAGAAGGGGGGCCAGUGUUCCUGAAGUCCCUUGCGGACUAGGGAAUGGUGGCCGCAGAGACCAGCGGAAAGCGACUGUUUACUAAAAACACAGGUCCAUGCGAAGUCGCAAGACGAUGUAUAUGGACUGACGCCUGCCCGGUGCUGGAACGUUAAGAGGACCGGUUAACCCCUUUGGGGGUGAAGCUGAGAAUUUAAGCGCCAGUAAACGGCGGUGGUAACUAUAACCAUCCUAAGGUAGCGAAAUUCCUUGUCGGGUAAGUUCCGACCUGCACGAAUGGCGUAACGACUUUCCGGCUGUCUCAACCACAGGCCCGGCGAAAUUGCACUACGAGUAAAGAUGCUCGUUACGCGCGGCAGGACGGAAAGACCCCGGGACCUUUACUAUAGUUUGGUAUUGGUU
rnacentral:rRNA from 1 species